rnacentral:lncRNA from 1 species
GAAUCUCAGAAAAAUGUACCAAGAAAGAGAGAUACGGAUAUGAAAAGCUAGCACGGGGUGCGUGGAGAAGGGCGCGGUAUGCGUGGGAGGGUACGGAGUUGCCCUGGAGGGUCGUGACCCAGGGGGGUGCACGGCGCGCGCAAGGGGAGUUUCCACCGAAACAAAACCGGAUCACCUUCCUUCUCCCUGUUGUAGGAUUGGCGAGCAGCGGAACGGCGGCGGCGAAAACUAGGGUUAGAAGAAAAAUGAGAAACAAGAGAUUAAAUACAAGUAACCAGCAACAAUUGAACGAGUAGGCACACAAAUUCAACAAAGACACUUAUUGAAAGAAUGUGCGAGGCUAAACGGUUGCUGGGACAAGGAUCUAACCUGAAAAAAAAUUGUUUUGGUUUUUGUGGACUGUAGGAAGGGAAAAACACUCGGUAAAACUCACCGAUCAACCUAGAAAUCUGAUACCACUUGAUAGAGUCGGAGUGCCCGAUCUUUCGGUGAGUGGAGAUAAAUUCGACUUGGUGGAAGUAGACCCUCAUGAUCCGACUACGACGAGCGAACCCGAAGCGCCAAUGCAAUCGCUGAACCAACUCCUUGUGGUUACCAACCUUGCCAGCGCAAGAUCAGCCUGAUCACAAAGAUCGAUUCCUAUCCGCAAUCGAAGAAUGAACAAGAAAAAGAGGCGAGCAAUCUAAAUAUCACUCGAAGGUGGAGUUCUGAAUCACACAAGGACAGCACGUAUUUGCGCGUGUUUGAGAGUAGCUAAAGCUCGAUGUAAAACAAAACUCAAGUCAUAAACAAAAGGGACUCCGACUAAAUAAAGGGGGCGCAGCCCCUGGAGUCCGGAGGAGGCGCCACGGCAGGGGGGGCGCGCGCGACCAGGGGGAGGGCCGCGGCUCCCAACCCUAGGCGCCCCACCUGGGUUGCCCUGUUGGGCCAUCUUCUUAUUCCGCUGGGCCUUCGUUCCUUAACAGCAUGAUGAAGUUUAAUUCUCUCGCACGGGCCCGAGUGAUUGGCCCAACUGGAUGAUCAACUAUAGGCGCCUGAGGUGGAGGAGCAACUGGAGGCACCUGAGGUGCUGCUGGUGUAGAUGUACUCGUGGUGUCCUC